ensembl:lncRNA
CAUUGCGCUCCAAAAGGCGUCUCCCGUUGCUAAGCAGCAUGGCCUGCGCUCUCCAUGAAGAAGCGGAAAUUUCAGCAAAGGAUAAAUGGAUUUGACUAAAAGUCGCUUGCAGUAGCUCUGUUAUUGAAUUUAUCUAAAAUGGCUAUCCAUAUACAGCUAAGCUGUUCCUUCAUCUUGGCUGAGCUUUCAGUGUUGCUACAGGAAAGGAUGAAGCUGAUUGGUUGCUUCUUGUCACUUGACCCGCGGUGCGCUUGCAGCAUUCUGAAAAGUUGAAAUGUUUUUGAUGCGGCUCGGACGCGCCUGCCGCUCGUCUACUUUUGAAAUAACGAACUUGAGCGCACGAAAGACGCGAUAUGUGAACGGCCCCUACAUUCGUUUGAUUGCGGUUCUGGGACAGUUUAGAGCGCGCGCGUCCCUUACGAGCCGCCGUCGUUUAUAUUAGGCGCGCUUUUCCAAUCUUUUCCUCCUGAAUCAGAGCAAUGUGGUUUUAUUGCAACACUUUGCACGCUUGAAGUUUAGAAACGGACAGUGCGGACAGUUUCAUGUCAGAUUGACCCUGUGCUGUUUCCAAAACCCGGAUGUAAAUGAGAAGACAAGGGAGUACCUUACAACUAAAUGACUGAUAAAGGAACUGUUAAUACCCUUUUUUUCCCUGGAUACCAAGUAAUAUCCAUCAGCAUGGAGAGGUCUUAAUGGCAAGCACCAGGCCCAUGCUGGACUCUUAACCCCACAUUCUUCACUGGGCCACAGCAGUAAUGGGGAUCAUUCGGAAUUGGUCCAUGGCAGGAGAACGAAGGCUUAUCAUUGAUCCACCAUCUCCCCUCCCGCGCCACUCCCACUUCAAAGCCACAUAAUGAGAAUAACCUGUGCCAGCCAGCCAGGGAAGUCUUUAGUAAGAAUUAUAGAUUGAGGUAAAGGAGAGGAAAUGCAUAGAAGCAGGAGGUUUAAAUGAGCUCUGUGGUGAUCAAGAAGCUCAGGAGAUGCACAGUGAAAGCAGGAAGACCGGGAAGAUGCAUUGGCUCGGCAGAGGCUCAGUGGAGGUCUGGAAAAGACCUUGCACAAAGCUCUUCCCUUACAUUAGAUUAGCCUUGUUCAGACACCCACUGAGCCCCUCUUGUCAACCCCCUGCUCAGCCCCCAGAGAGAGGUGUUUGCUAUUAGCCACUGACCUCCAUCCAUUCAGACUUGCUGAGUCUCUGCUCCUGACUUUAGAUCUGCCACACUAAUCAAAAACAACUCAGCCUCUCAAUCCUGGCAUUUUCUUUCUUCAGACAAGUAUUAGGAGGUGGACCCUAAUAUGGGGGUUUCAGGAUAUUGAUAAUAAUUGAAUAGCAUUAAAUAGGAUCAACGUUAUAGACAUUCCUGACCUCAAUUCAAAAUGUCAAUACACACCUAAAACGAUGGGGUUGGGGAUUUAUAUAGGAAGAUUAAAUGGACUUCCAGUUAUUAUUUGACAUUCUAGAGGAAUGUAAUGAGUACAUGUGAAAAAGAAAGAGAAUGAUUUAGUACACGUCCUGUGUUGGGGCUAACUUUACAAUCAUUAUUUAUCACUCUGAUGCAGUGGUUCCCAAUCCUGGUCCUGGAGUUCCCCCUUUAGGUUUGGAAACCACUGCUCUGAUGGACUAAGUUGUAAAAUUUCCAUCUCUUGUUAUUUAUUUAUUUAUUUAUUUUAUUAUUGUUUUCAUUUUCCUAAUCAUUAUGGAUGUUUUGAAUUUUGAUAUUGCUAAU